AUUGAACGCUGGCGGCAGGCUUAACACAUGCAAGUCGAGCGAGAGGCGGACGGGUGAGUAAUGUCUGGGAAACUGCCUGAUGGAGGGGGAUAACUACUGGAAACGGUAGCUAAUAACGCAUACCAUCAGAUGUGCCCAGAGUGGCGUAGCUCGUAGGUGGGGUAAUGGCCCACCAAGGCGAAGAUCCCUAGCUGGUCUGAGAGGAUGACCAGCCAGACUGGAAAUGAGACACGGUCCAGACUCCUACGGGAGGCAGCAGUGGGGAAUAUUGCACAAUGGGCGCAAGCCGUAUGCAGCCAUGCCGCGUGUGUGAAGAAGGCCUUCGGGUUGUAAAGCACUUUCAGCGAGGAGGCGUUACUCGCAGAAGAAGCACCGGCUAACUCCGGGCCAGCAGCCGCGGUAAUUC
rnacentral:rRNA from 1 species